UAAUACAGAGGGUGCGAGCGUUAAUCGGAGUUACUGGGCGUAAAGGGCGCGUAGGCGGUUUAAUAAGAUUGAUGUGAAAGCCCUGGGCUUAACCUAGGAACUGCAUCGAUGACUGUUAAGCUAGAGUAUUGUAGAGGGUAGUGGAAUUUCCGGUGUAGCGGUGAAAUGCGUAGAGAUCGGAAGGAACACCAGUGGCGAAGGCGGCUACCUGGACAAAUACUGACGCUGAGGCGCGAGAGCGUGGGGAGCAAACAGGAUUAGAUACCCUGGUAGUCCACGCUGUAAACGAUGAAAACUAGAUGUUGGGCAGCUUGACUGUUUAGUAUCGAAGCUAACGCGAUAAGUUUUCCGCCUGGGGAGUACGACCGCAAGGUUA
rnacentral:rRNA from 1 species